AUUGAACGCUGGCGGCAUGCCUUACACAUGCAAGUCGAACGGCAGCAUGGAAGAGCUUGCUCUUCUGAUGGCGAGUGGCGAACGGGUGAGUAAAGCAUCGGAACGUACCGUGUAGUGGGGGAUAACGUAGCGAAAGUUACGCUAAUACCGCAUACGCACUGAGGUGGAAAGCAGGGGAUCGCAAGACCUUGCGCUAUACGAGCGGCCGAUGUCAGAUUAGCUAGUUGGUAGGGUAAAGGCCUACCAAGGCGACGAUCUGUAGCGGGUCUGAGAGGAUGAUCAGACACACUGGAACUGAGACACGGUCCAGACUCCUACGGGAGGCAGCAGUGGGGGAAUUUUCCGCAAUGGGCGAAAGCCUGACGGAGCAAUACCGCGU
rnacentral:rRNA from 1 species